GUUAGGAAUCUUCCACAAUGGGGGCAACCCUGAUGGAGCAACACCGCGUGCUGGAUGAAGGCCUUCGGGUCGUAAACAGCUUUUGUAUACGAAGAAUAUGACGGUAAUAUACGAAUAAGGGUCGGCUAACUACGUGCCAGCAGCCGCGGUCAUACGUAGGACCCAAGCGUUAUCCGGAGUGACUGGGCGUAAAGAGUUGCGUAGGCGGCUUAUUAAGCGAGUAGUGAAAUCUGGUGGCUCAACCAUCAACACAUUGCUCGAACUGAUAGGCUUGAGAACGGUAGAGGUAGUUGGAAUUUCUUGUGUAGGAGUGAAAUCCGUAGAUAUAAGAAGGAACACCAAUGGCGUAGGCAGACUACUGGACCAUUUCUGACGCUGAGGCACGAAAGCGUGGGGAGCGAACCGGAUUAGAUACCCGAGUAGUCC
rnacentral:rRNA from 1 species